rnacentral:rRNA from 1 species
ACGGCUUCGGGAUUGCAAUGAGCCGAAUUUACACCCCUUAGCGAAGAUCGAUUGGAGGGCAAGUCUGGUGCCAGCAGCCGCGGUAAUUCCAGCUCCAAUAGCGUAUAUUAAAGUUGUUGCAGUUAAAAAGCUCGUAGUUGGAUUUCUGGGAGGGUGCCGCCGUCCGGCGUGUCCGUGUGCAGUGGCGCCCUUCCAUCCUUCUGUUAGCGUCUCUUGGCAUUCAUUUGCUGGUGGCGGGCUCAGAUAUUUUACCUUGAGAAAAUUAGAGUGUUUCAGGCAGGCUAGGCCGGAAUACAUUAGCAUGGAAUAAUGGAAUAGGACUUUUGCCUCUUCUGUUGGUCUGAGGGGUUCGAGUAAUGAUUAAUAGGGAUAGUUGGGGGCAUUAGUACUUAACUGUCAGAGGUGAAAUUCUCGGAUUUGUUAAAGACUAACUUAUGCGAAAGCAUUUGCCAAGGAUGUUUUCAUUAAUCAAGAACGAAAGUUAGGGGAUCAAAGACGAUCAGAUACCGUCCUAGUCUUAACCAUAAACUAUGCCGACUCGGGAUCGGGAGCGUGUGUUA